AGCAGCCCCAUUGAAGUCAAUGGACGCUCGGCUUCAGCAGAGAAAUACACUGAAGCUACAGGAAUGUAUGAGAAGGAAAUCGAGUCCGACCUGCGCAAGGGUCAACAACAACCAAUCAGAUCACUCUCCACUCAAGCCUCGCUUUCCAUCCAGAUGUCACCACAGGCCUCAACAGCUGGAAUGAUGACUAUAGGAAACAACUGAUGGGUCAGGAACAACAAGAAGGUAGCUUAAAUAAGGACAAAAUGUAUAUAUAUAUUGUGGUUGCAUUACCAUCCUGCAAUUAGAAAUUGUUUGAUUUAUUCAAUCUGGUAAUGAUUUAUGCCAUGUCAUUGGAAAAGAAUGUCAUUACACCACAGCCAGUAUCUCUGGUUUCAUGUGCAGCACGCUGUUUAUUUUACGCUUAUUUUCAACCUCCAUUUCACCCACGGCGAGGAACAUAAUUUAUUAUAAUUUACAUGUCUUAAUUACUGUUAUUUGAGCAACAUCGGGGGGGGUUAGGAAGCGCGAGAGAUUCCUCUCAUCUGCAAAGGAGAAUAAAGCUGGAUCUCAGGCCGGUAAUACCUUCAGACGUAGUCGUAUCAUGGCAACGGGGAUGCCAAUCGCUUCUGUCCACCUAAUGAAAAUUACACAAAUGACCCAUCCAGCGGCCGUCUCGAAACGGCCCAGCAGGUGCACCUCAUAAACUCUUUCAGCUGCAUUUCAUUACCUACCAUGAC